CUAGGAAUCUGCCUGGUAGUGGGGGACAACGUUUCGAAAGGAACGCUAAUACCGCAUACGUCCUACGGGAGAAAGCAGGGGACCUUCGGGCCUUGCGCUAUCAGAUGAGCCUAGGUCGGAUUAGCUAGUUGGUGAGGUAAUGGCUCACCAAGGCUACGAUCCGUAACUGGUCUGAGAGGAUGAUCAGUCACACUGGAACUGAGACACGGUCCAGACUCCUACGGGAGGCAGCAGUGGGGAAUAUUGGACAAUGGGCGAAAGCCUGAUCCAGCCAUGCCGCGUGUGUGAAGAAGGUCUUCGGAUUGUAAAGCACUUUAAGUUGGGAGGAAGGGCAGUAAGCGAAUACCUUGCUGUUUUGACGUUACCGACAGAAUAAGCACCGGCU
rnacentral:rRNA from 1 species